UGCUGCAAGCACGCUAGUAACUUCGGUCGGUCGUGAAAGUGCCGUAAGUCACGUUUUAACGAGCGCCCGAUUUAUACCGUCGCCGUUCCACUGACCUCGCAACGUCGACACUGUCGCGCGCGCCGAUACCGAACACACGUUUUCCAGUACGAAAAUCUGCAAAAUCGACGCGUACGCCAUGCGAAAAUAAACGUCCUCGAUCAUUUUGAAUCGAUAUCAAAGUGCGCCGCUGCCGUUUAUUAUUUCGCGACCGUUGUGAAUGGUGCUUGUUUUAUUCAUUUUCAUUUACUGUUUCCAUCGUUCGACGCUACAUAUAUACAGUGUGAAGCAAACGUAAAAAAUUUUUAAUUUCGUGAUUUAUAACUAAAAUAAUUGAACCACAGAACAUAUAUUGUUUGAGAAAUGUUUUGUGAAUAUAUUAUAAUAUGCGUUAUAUGAAAUAUUUUUCAUUGACAUUGUAAUGAAACAUAACUAGCAUAAUUACCUAUGUUGAUAAAGCUUGAACCAAAUCUGAAAAUUAGAAAGUUAUCUUAAAAUUAGAAAAUCUGAAAAAUAUAAAAGCUACAAAAUAUUUGAGACACUGUAUGUAUAGCUACUAAUUUCUCUUUCUGUAUUAUAUGCACGUGACACGAAGUUCGUUUUAACUGAAAAUUAAUUUAUCUAUUAACUUAUCUUUAAGAUGGAUCGUCGUUUUUCUUAUAGUUAUGCCUCAUCCGUAUUCCGGAGAACCUCAAGCAUACUUUGUUCCCACCAUCAGUAAACGCACGUGUUCGCGUAGAUAUGCAAAUCGAUAUUGUCCGCGUCGCUAUGUAGCAUCUAAUUGUCUGUCAUAAGCAUAUAAUCAUGUUCCCCAUGCAGGUUUCUAUGCAUGUUUUAACCUGCUCGUGUACGUGUAAUGAACGUAUGCUCGUUCGUGAGUGUUAGACAUAUCUGUUAUGACUACGUUUACUAAUCACACGUUAUAUUGGUAUCUCUGAAUAAUGAUAAGGAUUUCUGGAUGUACGAGCAGUCACUUGCUCCGCUGAUCUGUACUAUAUGUUUCUAUACAUAAUCGAAAUGUGUAACCGAUCUUUUUGUGGCUAAUAUAAUAUAUGUAUUAGGUUGGUGCAUACGAAAUGUCGUAUACAAUUUUAAACACGCACAAUGCCAUUGAGACAUCAUAUUGUCAUCAUCAUAUAAUUGUAUAUAUUUCAUCAACGAUUAGUUUGUUUUAUUAUUCAAGAUUUAUAAGAACUAUGCUUUCUAAAAUUAAAAGACUCGAAUGAUGCAACAGUAUCUUUAUUUGCAGCUUCGUUUAUAAUAAUUUUUACGUUAGAAAAUUGCUUAAAUGAAAUAACGGAAGCCGUUAAUUUUUGUGAUAUCUUUGCUAUACCUAAAUCCAUACGAGAAAACUACAUUAAUAUUUUGUUUAUUCGUAAUAAGAUUUUGAUAUCAUUGUCGUCUUCCUAACAUUUAAUAUACGUAACUUAUAACAAUCUUUUUUCUUUCUUAAUGUAGUUAAUAAUCGAAGAUAAGACAAAAUGUUACAAGUAAUAUCGGCCUAUCAAAUUUAAAUUUUGGAAAGACGAUAUUUCAUGUGCAUCUACCUAAUAUAUAUAUUAUAAUAUAUAUAUAUACACGUUCAAAAGUAUCGAUGUUUUUGUUAGCGUGAAUAUAUCAUUCAGUUAUUUUGAAUUAUCAAUGUACUUUGCGAUAGCAAUAGGAAACGAACGUUUUCGAGCAGAUUAAUAUAAUCUAGUCUAAAUCCGCACGUGCCACAGCUAGUGGCAAGGCUUUGUACCAUAGAUAUAAUGUGCGAUCCGUAUCUAUACCUGUGUAACCGUGUUUGCGCGUAUCUACAUAAAUCCACAUGUGUUACUCCAGACGUUGAAUCGCAUUUCACGUGUACGAGGUGACAGCCUUCGCAGCAAUAACAAGAUGGCGCAUUCACUGUUUUAUCGACGAAUCGGAAGAAGAGAUACACUCAACGAGGAAUAGAAUUCCUAACCAUGAUGCAUAUCACAACACCACGGUCAUAUAAAGAUACUAGACCUGACAUCUUACGGGACUUCGUGUUACAUGUUCUGAAAUAUCCACCCUCCUUUUACGCAAAAAUGCAUAUCACUAAUAAUGAGACAUCCAGUGCAACGAUAUAGGAAACUGCUCGUGUUACCUGCACGAGAUAAUCCAGGAAUAUGGUUCCACAGGUCAGUGGAAGAAAAUUGAGCAUGAUACAGGCGCAACACUACUCCAAAAAAACGCGAUAAUUCAUCAACAUAACUUUACCUAGAAAACUAAUUAAAAAAAUCGCGAUGGAAGUCCGCAACACUAAUUGUUAAAACAAAUUUAAUAAAGAUUGCUAUCUAUAGAGAAACAAAAAGCUACCUCCAAUAUUAUUAUAUUACAAAUUGCAAUACUGUAAAAUUAAUAAAAAAGCUAACUUUAAAUGAUAAUAAGCAAGAUGAAAUCUAAUAUACAUGUAUUAUUC